UACGUAGGGUGCAAGCGUUGUCCGGAAUCAUUGGGCGUAAAGCGCGCGUAGGCGGCCAGAUAAGUCCGGUGUGAAAGUCACAGGCUCAACCUGUGAAUGCCGCUGGAAACUGUCUGGCUUGAGUCCGGAAGGGGCGAGUGGAAUUCCCGGUGUAGCGGUGAAAUGCGCAGAUAUCAGGAAGAACACCCGUGGCUAAGGCGGCUCUCUAGUACGGUACUGACGCUGAGACGCGAAAGCGUGGGGAGCAAACAGG
rnacentral:rRNA from 1 species